UUUCUACGUUGAUGGUAAUUGGAAGAG
rnacentral:piRNA from 1 species